AUGAUGUAUGGAAAAAUGGGACAAGAGUAAUAUGGAAUACGCUUAGAAUUUCAUGCAAUACACUUUAAUACAUAGUAUACUUUGGGAACAAUUCCAAAAUCAUGGAGCCAGCGGAAGGGCUAGAGCAGCUCAGAAACCAGGCAACUGGAAAUGAACUUGGUUCUGAUACAUCAUUGCCAUUUCCAAAAAACGUGCGUAGCAAAUGUGGACGAAAUGAAUGAAACCAUGUAACAAUGUUCUUCAAACUAAAUUUAAAACUGAGUUGCCCAGAACGAAAAAAAUAACCACUAGCCAUUUUAAUAACUCAUAUGUAGAUUAAAUGAACAAGCUGUCCACCUAAAUAUCUCAUUUCGAUGUCAUCUACUCGCCUGCACACAUGGAUUAAUAGUUACUUUAUACUUUUUAGGCUGCAGCGAACGCAAGAUUCUCAAAGAAAUAGUUUCCUAACAGAAUGACUGAUACCAUUGUGGAAAGAGACAUUAUUCAGGACAUUAUCUGUUUCAUUCUUCCGUCAAGGACAUUUGGAACCACAAAUCAGUCAGGGGAUAAAGAUCCUCACUGUGCCUCACUGUAGACACCUUUGGAAGAGAAACACCUUGUCAGCCACAGAAAUUAAGCUCUGCCAGUUCCAUCUGGCUCUGACGGCAGAUCAUCACACCAGAAGAGCGUCUCGGUUUCAUGAGUUUCUUGAACUUCCUUUGGUUGGUGUCACAGCCAGCCACCCAGUAGAGACUGAGACCACCAGUUCAUUUCACACAGGCCACUGAACAGUCAUAAGAUGGUGACAACUUUUGGUCUCUAGUGACCUGGACUGGAUCCGACUCACUGACCUAGAGGUGAAAGGCUCUGUAUUCCAUUACUAAUCCCUCGAGCUCUCCAGCCCCCUGAAAAUGAUUCUUUGGUUUUAUUAUUGCAAAGACCAUUUAUAAAAUCAUGAACUGGAUUUAGGAAAGCAACCAUGAAAUAGCAAGGGACAACAAACUGAUUGAAAUUCCUUAAAUGUAGCAUGGGCUGAAGUCUCUCAGACAGUAAGAUUGGGGGGAAAGUUAUAUAUAGGCACCUCCAUUCUGAUUUCAGUAGCGUGACCUGCUCACUUAAACGUGGCAACUUCAGAUCAUGGACCACGCCUCAAGGAACUAAAUCCUAAAUAAAGAAAAUGGAAAAGCAAACUAUGAAAUAGCCAAUAAUCUUUAUUUUGCACUUCCCCCACCCCUCACCCCUCUCCAAAAACCA
rnacentral:lncRNA from 10 species